rnacentral:rRNA from 1 species
AAUCAACGCUGGCGGCGUGCCUCAGACAUGCAAGUCGAACGAUUAAACUUUCCUUCGGGAAAGAUAUAAAGUGGCGCACGGGUGAGUAACACGUAAGUAAUCUACCUUCGAGUGGGGAAUAACGUUCGGAAACGAACGCUAAUACCGCAUAAUGCAGCGGCACCUAAUGGUGACAGUUGUUAAAGGAGCAAUUCGCCUGAAGAGGAGCUUGCGGCAGAUUAGCUAGUUGGAAGGUAACGGCUUACCAAGGCUACGAUCUGUAACCGGUCUAAGAGGACGGUCGGUCACACUGACACUGAAUAACGGGUCAGACUCCUACGGGAGGCAGCAGUCGGGAAUUUU